UUAAUUAAAGCCAAAAUAGAGGCAAUUCAUUGUUAAUGAAUAAAAUGGAUAAUUAAUCCUGAUUAA
rnacentral:tRNA from 1 species